rnacentral:rRNA from 1 species
AGCAGCCGCGGUAAUUCCAGCUCCAAUAGCGUAUAUUAAAGUUGUUGCAGUUAAAAAGCUCGUAGUUGAAUUUCGGGACCAGUAUGUUGGUCGUGCUUCGGUACGUACUGUCAUUACUGGUUUCUCCCUUCUGAAGAACCUUGAUGUCAUUAAUUUGGUGUCUUGGGGAAUCAGGACUGUUACUUUGAAAAAAUUAGAGUGUUUAAAGCAGGCAUACGCUUGAAUACAUUAGCAUGGAAUAAUGAAAUAGGACGUUUGAUUCUAUUUUGUUGGUUUCUAGGAUCGACGUAAUGAUUAAUAGGGAUAGUUGGGGGCAUUAGUAUUCAAUUGUCAGAGGUGAAAUUCUUGGAUUUAUUGAAGACUAACUACUGCGAAAGCAUUCGCCAAGGAUGUUUUCAUUAAUCAAGAACGAAAGUUAGGGGAUCGAAGACGAUCAGAUACCGUCGUAGUCUUAACCAUAAACUAUGCCGACUAGGGAUCGGAUGAUGUUAUUUUUAAUGACUCAUUCGGCGCCUUAAC